UACGGAGGGUGCGAGCGUUGUCCGGAAUCAUUGGGCGUAAAGGGCGCGUAGGUGGCCCGGUCAGUCUUUGGUGAAAGCGCGGGGCUCAACCCUGCGUCGGCCAGGGAUACUGCCGCGGCUCGAGCACUGUAGAGGCAGGCGGAAUUCCGGGUGUAGCGGUGGAAUGCGUAGAGAUCCGGAAGAACACCGGUGGCGAAGGCAAUCCCCUGGGCCUGCACUGACGCUCAUGCACGAAAGCGUGGGGAGCAAACAGG
rnacentral:rRNA from 1 species